rnacentral:rRNA from 1 species
GACGAACGCUGGCGGCGUGCUUAACACAUGCAAGUCGAACGGAAAAGGCUUGCUUGCUGCUUGCUUCAGUGGCGGACGGGUGAGUAAUACGUAGGCGUUCUGCUCCUUACGUUGGGAUACGUCCGGGAACUGGGGCCUAAUACUGGUACGGCAUAUGCUGUAGGUUGUGUGUCGGGAAGAUUUGACUCGGUAAGGGUAGAGCUCAUGGCGUGUAAUAUUGUUGGAGGGGUAAUGUCCUACCAGGGCGUGGACGAGUAGCCGGCCUGAGUGGGUGUACGGCAAGAUUGGGACUGAGACACGGCCCAGACUCCUGCGGGAGGCGGCAGAGGGGAAAAUUGCACAAUGGGCGCAAGCCUGAUGCAGCGACGCCGCGUGGGGGAUGACGGCCUUCGAGUUGUAAGCUCCUUUCAGCCGUGACGAAGCCCUUGUGGUGACGGUAGUGGUAGAAGAAGCACCGGCUAACUACGUG